rnacentral:rRNA from 1 species
UACAGAGGUCUCAAGCGUUGUUCGGAUUCAUUGGGCGUAAAGGGUGCGUAGGCGGCGCGGUAAGUCGGGUGUGAAAUCUUGGAGCUUAACUCCGAAACUGCAUUCGAUACUGCCGUGCUUGAGGACUGGAGAGGAGAGUGGAAUUCCUGGUGUAGCGGUGAAAUGCGCAGAUAUCAGGAAGAACACCCGUGGCGAAGGCGGCUCUCUGGGACGGUACUGACGCUGAGACGCGAAAGCGUGGGGAGCGAACAGG